CCUACGGGAGGCAGCAGUGAGGAAUAUUGGUCAAUGGACGGGAGUCUGAACCAGCCAAGUCGCGUGAAGGAAGACGGCCCUAUGGGUUGUAAACUGCUUUUGUACAGGAGUAAACCUGAGCACGUGUACCCAGCUGGAAGUACUCUACGAAUUAGGAUCGGCUAACUCCGUGCCAGCCGCCGCGGUAAUAAGGAGGAUUCCAGCGUUUUGCGGAUUUAAUGGGGUUAAAGGGUGCGUUGGGGGGUUGUUAAGGUAGGUGUGAAAUUUUCCGGGUUAAAGCGGGAACUGCCGUUGAUACUGGUGAUCUUGAGUGGAGGUGCGGUAGGCGGAAUGCGUGGUGUAGCGGUGAAAUGCUUAGAUAUCACGCAGAACACCGAUUGCGAAGGCAGCUUACCAAUCUAUGACUGACGCUGAGGCACGAAAGCGUGGGGAUCAAACAGGAUUAGAUACCCUGGUAGUC
rnacentral:rRNA from 1 species